AGAUCCCCUUUCCCUCUAUAGUGCCAGAACACUGUGGUUAGCCUAAGUGAUCCUGGUAAUGAGAGCAGGUCUCAAAGCUGUUUAUCCCAGAACAAGGAUGGCAGCAACAGAAAACAGAGAAUGGAAGUUCCUACCAGGACACUGACUCUGCACUACCAUAGACCCAGUGUAAUGGGGCACCUCAUGACACAGAAGGUGAUGUUGCAUCAGCACACUGGCAGGAUGCAGACCUUUUUUCCAAUGCAAAGGAAAAAGGAGUGCGAGAAGAUUUAUAAGAGAAUCACAGCACAGC